rnacentral:rRNA from 1 species
UACGUAGGGGGCGAGCGUUAUCCGGAUUCAUUGGGCGUAAAGCGCGCGUAGGCGGCCGCCUAAGCGGAACCUCUAACCCCGGGGCUCAACCUCGGGCCGGGUUCCGGACUGGGCGGCUCGAGUGCGGUAGAGGAGAGCGGAAUUCCCGGUGUAGCGGUGGAAUGCGCAGAUAUCGGGAAGAACACCGAUGGCGAAGGCAGCUCUCUGGGCCGUCACUGACGCUGAGGCGCGAAAGCGUGGGGAGCAAAUAGG